CAAGUCGAACGCGAAAGGGGGGCAACCCCUGAGUAGAGUGGCGAACGGGUGAGUAAUACAUCGGAACGUACCCAGUAGCGGGGGAUAACCUCUCGAAAGAGAGGCUAAUACCGCAUACGACCUACGGGUGAAAGAGGGGGAUCGCAAGACCUCUCACUAUUGGAGCGGCCGAUGUCGGAUUAGCUAGUUGGUGGGGUAAAAGCCUACCAAGGCGACGAUCCGUAGCUGGUCUGAGAGGACGGCCAGCCACACUGGAACUGAGACACGGUCCAGACUCCUACGGGAGGCAGCAGUGGGGAAUUUUGGACAAUGGGCGAAAGCCUGAUCCAGCCAUGCCGCGUGAGUGGAGAAGGCCUUCGGGUUGUAAAGCUCUUUCGGCUGGGACGAAAAGGUCCGUGCUAACACCACGGAUCCAUGACGGUACCAGCAGAAGAAGCACCGGCUAACUACGUGCCAGCAGCCGCGGUAAUACGUAGGGUGCAGGCGUUAAUCGGAAUUACUGGGCGUAAAGCGUGCGCAGGCGGUUUGCUAAGACAGGUGUGAAAUCCCCGGGCUUAACCUGGGAACUGCGCUUGUAACUGGCAAGCUGGAGUGUGGCAGAGGGGGGGUGGAAUUCCACGUGUAGCAGUGAAAUGCGUAGAGAUGUGGAGGAACACCGAUGGCGAAGGCAGCCCCCUGGGCUAACACUGACGCUCAUGCACGAAAGCGUGGGGAGCAAACAGGAUUAGAUACCCUGGUAGUCCACGCCCUAAACUAUGUCAACUGGUUGUCGGGGAAGCAAUUCCUUGGUAACGAAGCUAACGCGUGAAGUUGACCGCCUGGGGAGUACGGCCGCAAGGUUAAACUCAAAGGA
rnacentral:rRNA from 1 species